UACGUAGGGGGCAAGCGUUGUCCGGAAUCAUUGGGCGUAAAGCGCGCGUAGGCGGCCCGGUAAGUCCGCUGUAAAAGUCCAGGGCUCAACCCUGGAAAGCCGGUGGAUACUGUCGGGCUAGAGUCCGGAAGAGGCGAGUGGAAUUCCUGGUGUAGCGGUGAAAUGCGCAGAUAUCAGGAGGAACACCAGUGGCGAAGGCGACACGCUGGGCCGUACCUGACGCUAAAGCGCGACAGCAUGGGGAGCAAACGGG
rnacentral:rRNA from 1 species